rnacentral:lncRNA from 1 species
GGGCGGGGGUGAUGCCGCGCGGUCGCAGGCUUGGGAUGGUGUUCGCGCCUCCGAGACCCGGACAGAGGCAAGCAGGGGCGCCGUGGGUGCCAGAGAGGCGGAAGAGGAGGCCUGAUGGGGUGAGCACAGGGCCAGGGCAGGCACUGCCUGUGAAUGGCGCCAGGGAUACCUUCCUGCUGUCCUUCCUGAGCACAACCUGGCUGAAAACCUGGAGGUCACAACAGUACAAAGAAUCAAAGUCAAGAUCUUGUGCCAGAGAGCAAAUGAACUCUUCCUCUUGCUGAGAAAACCCACCCUGCUCACCUAAACCCUGGCCUUGCCUGGUAAUUCCAUCCAUGCGCCUGGAAGGCCCCAGACAUCAAGGCUCUGAGGGGCCAGGCACGGGGAGAACCCAGCAGUGCCCUGCCCUGCAGUCUGAGCUACCAGAUUCCUUGUGAAGAUAAUUUGAGGACCAUGACUCACCCAACCACAUUUCCUGGGGCCUCAAAUUGAAAAUUCAGGAUGGGCUUUUCUAUAUGACUGGCUGAUAUCCAACUAUGCCAUGGUCUUUACAUGCCAUGAACAUUCUUUCCUGCCAGAGUUCUAAGAAUCUGUGUUCUCUGCCUUAGACCUUCUGCAGAUGAGCCCACAGGAAGCUCCACGUGUAGCUGAGCUACAUGCACCAGGCCUCAGUUUGCCCCAAGUCCCCUGUGUACUCUCUCAUGGCCUGUGGCCAAGAAAUGUAUUCUCUCACUUUGGACUUAGGAGUCCAAAGAGAAGCCCAGAAACAAAAUUGCUUGAACUUGAAUUUGUGUGCGUGCGCACGUGUGCACGUGGUGGUGAAGGUGUAUGUUUUCGGCUGUUCUAUGCGUCACUGUCACCAAACUCCCAAAUAAUAGUAACAUUUGUUUA